rnacentral:rRNA from 1 species
GGCUCCGGCCCUAUCAGCCUGAAGGCGCCCGAUCUCGUCUGAUCUCGGAAGCUAAGCAGGGUCGGGCCUGAUUAGGAUCUUGGAUGGGAGACCACCUGGGAAUCCCGGGUGCUCGAGGCU